UACGGGGGGGGCAAGCGUUGUUCGGAAUUACUGGGCGUAAAGGGCUCGUAGGCGGCCCAACUAAGUCAGACGUGAAAUCCCUCGGCUUAACCGGGGAACUGCAUCUGAUACUGGAUGGCUUGAGUUCGGGAGAGGGAUGUGGAAUUCCAGGUGUAGCGGUGAAAUGCGUAGAUAUCUGGAGGAACACCGGUGGCGAAGGCGGU
rnacentral:rRNA from 1 species